rnacentral:tRNA from 1 species
UCGGGUAUGGUGUAGCGGUAACAUCAGCGACUCUCAAAUACUCGCUAGCCCGGGGUUCGACUCCCCGUAUCCGAG